GCUUUAGUAGUUAAAUUAACGUUAAUUUUGUAAAUUAAAAAUGGUCUUACCCUAAAGCU
rnacentral:tRNA from 1 species